rnacentral:rRNA from 1 species
GUCCACGCCGUAAACUAUGUGCGCUAGACGCUGGGAAGCCUAGCUUCUCGGUGUCGCAGCUAACGCGUUAAGCGCACCGCCUGGGGAGUACGGUCGCAAGAUUAAAACUCAAAGGAAUUGACGGGGGCCCGCACAAGCGGUGGAGCAUGUGGUUUAAUUCGAUGCAACGCGCAGAACCUUACCAGGCCUUGACAUGGGUACGACCGAUUGGGGAAACCUGAUCUUCCGGGCAACCGGCGUGCCACACAGGUGCUGCAUGGCUGUCGU